UUUAUUCAACGCAAAAGAAUCCUCUCCAAUUUUACUGAGGUAGCUGACUAUGUCCACAACCAAAUCCGCCUCUAAACUGGAAUUCAGUUGCUGACCCAGCCCCAGACUCGGCUUUCUUGUCGGCACCAGGUGGCACAGCACUCUGUCUGAAGUCAGGAGAGCAGAUAUUUUUAUUCCUGUUGGACAAAUGAAAAAAAAUGAAGCAUGGAAGAGUUAAUUGAAUCACCUAAGAUUCCACACACACUGAACCUAUCCAGAAUUGUGAUUCAUGACUCACCAGAUCCUGUGGCCCCCCUAUCCAGGGGUGCACUCAGCACAUGAGGACGCCUGUGAUUCUGCCCCUAUGAGUUCAUCCCCAACCAGUCAGCAAUACCCAUUCCUUAACCCCCUGCCUGGCAAACUGUCUGGGAGACUGAUUUGAGUGAUAACUCCAAUUCUCUUGUGUGGGCCAGCCACAUAUCAAUAAAACUCUUUCUCUACUGCAAUGCCAUGGUCUCAGUGGAUUGAUUUUGUCUGUACACUGGGGCAGGAAGAACCCAUCAGGG
rnacentral:lncRNA from 1 species